rnacentral:lncRNA from 7 species
AUUUUAAGGAAAACAACAACCCUGAUGGAAACUAAUGACUGUAUCUUUUCCAUUUCCCAUGAAAGCAAGAAGUAAGCGAUAAAGCUGUUUUUGUGCACUACUGAUGCAUUACUCUGGUUGUAAAAACUAGCAAGAUUUCAUAAACCAUGAAGAAAGGGGUUUAUGUUGGAGGUGGAUGAAAGAGGCUUCAUCCCACUUAAAAACAAACAAAAAAAAUCAGAAGAAGAAAAAAGCAGAAUUCCUCUCUGCAGCUAUAUUUGGUUUUGAACCUUCUUCAGAUGGCUGCUGUCCAGUCAACUUUGGGAGGAAAACUGCAACGUUUUGAAGAAGAAAAAUAAAAGGUUGAAAGGAUAUAGAGAUGAAGUAGCGAGAGGAAGCUGGUAAUAAAGUUCAGACACAGUGUUGGUUCUUGACCAACAGUGGGGGAUCAGUGCCCGUGAAGAUGUGCAGACAAGGCAUGUUUCAGACUCCCAGAAGCUGUUUGUUUGCCAUACUGUGAGGAAGCAGGUGUGGGCCAGCACCACUGCAUGCUCCUGUUGCACUAUGAGGACAUGGUUUAGGACCAGACCAAGUUGCCCCAAGAUCAAUUCCUUCCCGUGACUGUCAGGUAUGACCUGACCAUACCUCUCCAUGGGACAGUGCAUAUCUGGACAAAGAAGAAAAAGUUGGUAACACUUAUGAUACAACGCUAAGAUAUGGCAGUGUUGGACACAAGACACUAUGCAGACCAAGGAUGGUGCUCUACAGUGAUACAGGUGCUUUUCUGCCACAUGUACAUUGAAACAAGUCUGACAGCAAUGGGGAGCCCAUAGCUCUUUUUACCCAGCCUGAUAAAUCUCUCAUUAACAUGACAAAAACAAAUGGCACAUUUCUAUCCUAAAUUAAACUGGCAAGUUUAAAGCCUCUGCAGUAAAGGCUGUUCUUUAUCUUUGGAUUAAGCUUGCUGCCAAAUAUACAUGUAAAACAACAGCUAUUAUGUUACUCUUAUAGACAUCUAAGCUGUCAAUAAGAGUAUCUGUAGUAUCUGUUUUCUCGCUUACGAAUGCCUGUCAGAUAUGGCAUGAAGUGAAUAUGGCAAAGCAGAGUGCUAAGGUAACUUUUAAUAACAAGUGCCAUGACAAUUAUAGCUACCGGUCCUUGAUUUGACAUUUUGGAGAGUGUAAUCUUUCUUUUCUUACUUCCCUUCCUAAAUAUUUCAUCCCUUGCUUAGCUGUAAGGCAGAGAGAAGCUUUGAAAAUGGGUCUUCCACUAUCUGCUCACUGAAAAACCAAAUAAAGGAAAUAUGC